rnacentral:lncRNA from 1 species
GCAAGGAUUCCCAACAAAUACAAAUGAACAGCCCGCGUCCAGUGUACCGACACACGCACGCCCCUUAUUCUUGGGAGAUCAAGGAACGGAUGCAGUGUGUUACAGUGAGUUCAUUCAUGUUCCGACCGAUUCAACCAUCAUUUAUCCAAAAGACCGAACUGGUAGAGAAAGGGGGGCGGGCAACAUAUUUCAACACAGCGACACAAACCAGAGGACCCUGCCUACAAAAGGUACUACUCUCUCCAUUGCAAAACUAAUAAAGGUCAAACAUCGAAAAGCCUGAUUUAUUUCUGAAGGGCAGAAACAUUACGCCUUAUAUUUUGAAGCGGAGCCUGUAUCAUCAUAUCAUAAACCGCGGCUACCAUUCACAAACAAAAAGCAUCAUCAACUCCAAACGCCAUCCAUGCCAUGAAUGAAAAUGCUGCAUCUAACUAAAAGCACCCAUUAUUAUCAAUACAAACCAAACCCAUGGUCCUGGGCAGGUUCAGAGGCAGUAGUAGCUAGUUUCAAAGUUAAGGGCGCGCCUGUUUAGGAGGAUCCCGGGGUGGAGGCGCUUGCGGCGGUGGAGGCGGCCGCCUCCUUCUUCUUCAGGUCCUCAAACUUGUCGAUGGUGACCUGCAGCUCGUCGGUGCUGCCCACUGCCCACAUGGUGUAGUAGUACACCCCAAAGACGAACCCAGUCAGCCCGCCCGCCACCACCACGUUCUUCGUCUUGGGCGCCAGGCUGCCAAACCCUGCCAUCGACGACGACGAAGACAACUAGGUUGCUGCUGCUGCAGGACAAAAAUGUGGAAAAUGUUACAUGUAGUUACCAAUCCAAGGUGCGAAACACAAAAAAUGGUCCUCUCACAACUGAGAGAAAAGUUACGACGCAGCGACAACAAACCAGAGGACCCUGCCUACAAAAGGCACUGCUCUCUCCAUUGCAAAACUAAUAAAGGUCAAACAUCGAAAAGCCUGAUUUAUUUCUGAGGGGCAGAAACAUUACGCCUUAUAUUUUGAAGUGGAGCCUGUAUCAUCAUAUCAUAAACCGCGGCUACCAUUCACAAACAAAAAGCAUCAUCAACUCCAAACUCCAUCCAUGCCAUGAAUGAAAAUGCUGCAUCUAACUAAAAGCACGGAGGGGAACUUUUGGUCUAUGGGGACAUAUGCACCCUAUAUGGGAAAAAAAUUAGUAAUUCAACAAAAAGUCAAAAAUUCCUGAAAAUAUUUUUGAAAUAAACUUGACCUUCUAUUGUACUCGUGAAAAAUAAAAUCCACAAAAAAAAUAUCCUUUUGACUUCUUUUCAAAAAAGACAAAUUUCCGGUCAAAAUAGCGUGAAUAGUGACCUAUAAUAGCAAAUAAAUUUUGUCUUUUUCGCUGUGAAGUCAACAUCUUUUUCUUUUUUGUGAAAAUUAUGUAUACUAGUGCGUAAGUAAGUCAACUUUAUUCUAAAAAUAGUUUCUUAACUAUUUUGACUUUUUGUUUAACUAUUAAAAAUAAAUCCCCAUAUAGGGUACAUAUGUACCCAGGAACCAUUGGGUAUUUCCUCUAAAAGCACCCAUUAUUAUUAUCAAUACAAACCAAACCCAUGGUCCUGGGCAGGUUCAGAGGCAGCAGCUAGUUUCAAAGUUAAGGGCGCAUUUGUUUAUGAGGAUCCCGGGGUUGAGGCGCUUGCGGCAGCGGCGGAGGCGGCUGCCUCCUUCUUCUUCAGGUCCUCAAACUUGUCGAUGGUGACCUGCAGCUCGUCGGUGCUGCCUACCGCCCACAUGGUGUAGUAGUACACCCCGAAGACGAACCCCGUCAGCCCGCCCGCCACCACCACGUUCUUCAUCUUGGGUGCCAGGCUGCCAAACCCUGCCAU